CAGGACGAACGCUAGCGACAGGCCUAACACAUGCAAGUCGAGGGGCAGCACAAGGAGCAAUCUGAGGUGGCGACCGGCGCACGGGUGAGUAACACGUAUGCAACCUGCCUGUAAGCGGGGAAUAACCCGUUGAAAGACGGACUAAUACCGCAUAAUACUAAAUUACUGCAUGGUAAUUUAUUUAAACAUUUAUGGCUUACAGAUGGGCAUGCGCAUGAUUAGCUAGUUGGAGAGGUAACGGCUCCCCAAGGCAACGAUCAUUAGGGGUUCUGAGAGGAAGGUCCCCCACACUGGUACUGAGACACGGACCAGACUCCUACGGGAGGCAGCAGUGAGGAAUAUUGGUCAAUGGACGAGAGUCUGAACCAGCCAAGUCGCGUGCAGGAAGAAUGUCCCUAUGGAUUGUAAACUGCUUUUGCAGGGGAAUAAAGUGCAUCACGUGUGAUGUUUUGUAUGUACUCUGCGAAUAAGGAUCGGCUAACUCCGUGCCAGCCGCCGC
rnacentral:rRNA from 1 species